AGAAGGAGCUUGCUCCUUUGACGUUAGCGGCGGACGGGUGAGUAACACGUGGGCAACCUACCUUAUAGUUUGGGAUAACUCCGGGAAACCGGGGCUAAUACCGAAUAAUCUGUUUCACCUCAUGGUGAAAUAUUGAAAGACGGUUUCGGCUGUCGCUAUAGGAUGGGCCCGCGGCGCAUUAGCUAGUUGGUGAGGUAACGGCUCACCAAGGCGACGAUGCGUAGCCGACCUGAGAGGGUGAUCGGCCACACUGGGACUGAGACACGGCCCAGACUCCUACGGGAGGCAGCAGUAGGGAAUCUUCCACAAUGGGCGAAAGCCUGAUGGAGCAACGCCGCGUGAGUGAAGAAGGAUUUCGGUUCGUAAAACUCUGUUGUAAGGGAAGAACAAGUACAGUAGUAACUGGCUGUACCUUGACGGUACCUUAUUAGAAAGCCACGGCUAACUACGUGCCAGCAGCCGCGGUAAUACGUAGGUGGCAAGCGUUGUCCGGAAUUAUUGGGCGUAAAGCGCGCGCAGGUGGUUUCUUAAGUCUGAUGUGAAAGCCCACGGCUCAACCGUGGAGGGUCAUUGGAAACUGGGAGACUUGAGUGCAAAAGAGGAUAGUGGAAUUCCAAGUGUAGCGGUGAAAUGCGUAGAGAUUUGGAGGAACACCAGUGGCGAAGGCGACUAUCUGGUCUGUA
rnacentral:rRNA from 1 species